UACAGAGGGUGCGAGCGUUGUCCGGAAUCACUGGGCGUAAAGGGCGCGUAGGCGGUUUUUCAAGCGUGCGGUGAAAGCUCAGGGCUCAACCCUGAGUCGGCCGUGCGAACUGGGAGACUGGAGCACGGUAGAGGCACAUGGAAUUCCGGGUGUAGCGGUGGAAUGCGUAGAGAUCCGGAAGAACACCGGUGGCGAAGGCGGUGUGCUGGGCCGUUGCUGACGCUGAGGCGCGACAGCGUGGGGAGCAAACAGG
rnacentral:rRNA from 1 species